AACGAACGCUGGCGGCAUGCCUAACACAUGCAAGUCGAACGAGACCUUCGGGUCUAGUGGCGCACGGGUGCGUAACGCGUGGGAACCUGCCCUUAGGUUCGGAAUAACUCCCCGAAAGGGGUGCUAAUACCGGAUAAUGUCUUCGGACCAAAGAUUUAUCGCCUUUGGAUGGGCCCGCGUUGGAUUAGCUAGUUGGUAGGGUAAAAGCCUACCAAGGCGACGAUCCAUAGCUGGUCUGAGAGGAUGAUCAGCCACACUGGGACUGAGACACGGCCCAGACUCCUACGGGAGGCAGCAGUGGGGAAUAUUGGACAAUGAGCGAAAGCCUGAUCCAGCAAUGCCGCGUGAGCGAUGAAGGCCUUAGGGUUGUAAAGCUCUUUUACCCGGGAUGAUAAUGACAGUACCGGGAGAAUAAGCUCCGGCUAACUCCGUG
rnacentral:rRNA from 1 species